UUGGGAAUAUUGGACAAUGGGCGCAAGCCUGAUCCAGCCAUGCCGCGUGAGUGAUGAAGGCCCUAGGGUUGUAAAGCUCUUUCACCGGCGAAGAUAAUGACGGUAACCGGAGAAGAAGCCCCGGCUAACUUCGUGCCAGCAGCCGCGGUAAUACGAAGGGGGCUAGCGUUGUUCGGAAUUACUGGGCGUAAAGCGCACGUAGGCGGAUCGAUCAGUUAGGGGUGAAAUCCCGGGGAUCAACCCCGGAACUGCCUCUAAUACUGUCGAUCUGGAGUUCGAGAGAGGUGAGUGGAAUUCCGAGUGUAGAGGUUAAAUUCGUAGAUAUUCGGAGGAACACCAGUGGCGAAGGCGGCUCACUGGCUCGAUACUGACGCUGAGGUGCGAAAGCGUGGG
rnacentral:rRNA from 1 species